CCUACGGGGUGCAGCAGUGAGGAAUAUUGGUCAAUGGCCGGAAGGCUGACCCAGCCAUGCCGCGUGAAGGUCAGUGCCCUAUGGGCGGUAAACUUCUUUUGUGCGGGAGCAAUAAUGGUCACGUGUGGCCAGACGAGAGUACCGUACGCAUAAGCAUCGGCUAACUCCGUGCCAGCAGCCGCGGGAAUACGGGGGAUGCAAGCGUUAGUCGGAGUUAUUUGGUUGAAAGGGUGCGUAGGCUGUGAGGUAAGCCAACGGUGGAAUACCCCCGCUGAACGGGGUGAAGUGCCAUUGAUACUGCCUUGCUGGAAUGCGGAUGACGUGGGAGGAAUGUGUGGUGUAGCGGUGAAAUGCAUAGAUAUCA
rnacentral:rRNA from 1 species